UACGUAGGGGGCAAGCGUUGUCCGGAUUUACUGGGCGUAAAGAGCUCGUAGGUGGUUUGUCGCGUUGUUCGUGAAAACCGGGGGCUUAACCCUCGGCGUGCGGGCGAUACGGGCAGACUGGAGUACUGCAGGGGAGACUGGAAUUCCUGGUGUAGCGGUGGAAUGCGCAGAUAUCAGGAGGAACACCGGUGGCGAAGGCGGGUCUCUGGGCAGUAACUGACGCUGAGGAGCGAAAGCGUGGGGAGCGAACAGG
rnacentral:rRNA from 1 species